rnacentral:pre_miRNA from 1 species
AAUAAACGAAUUUCUGAGUUUUUGAUAGAAUUUUUAACUCUUCAUCUUAUUUGAAAAAUUUUUAUGGUUAAUAUUUUUAUUGUUACUACAUGAUAAAACAUGAAUAGUAUUUUAUAUAUGAUUAAUUUUUUUUGAUUUUUUAAUAAAUUUUUAAAUAAGACGGAUGGUCAAACGCUAAAUCUACAAAACCCAGA